rnacentral:misc_RNA from 1 species
UCUAGUGGUUCUGUCCCCGCCGUCGGGUUAGGUUAUUCAAUUGCUGCCAGUGGGUUUCGUGUGCAUGCUGACGUUUGUCAUUUUUUGGUUGAUAAACAAAUUAUCCUUACCAAGCAUUCCAUGGAAUACUUGACUACUUUAUUCACAGGCAAAUAACAGUUAACCAUGUUUGGAGUACUAGAACAAGUUUGGACGUUUUUGAAAUACUGGUAUUUUCGUUAUGCGCUAGUAACGGAGCUUUACAUGGUCGAAAAAUGGGAAAGGAAUGUUGUCCAUAUUUUCCUGUUGGCAAUGUUUGGGUUGUUUUUCUAUUUUAAUUACAGAGUCCUGGUUCCAUCGGCAUCACAAAUAUUGGUUCGAUUGUCAUGAAUUUUGAACUAGUGAAUGUUCAAUAACAAGUCACAAUACACACCAAUAUCCUCGGAAUAAAAUUUUUCCGUUUCUAAUGUUUUUUAUUUCCAAAUAAUGUUAAUGGUAUGCAAUGCAUGAUUUACAGUAUGUACAAUAUUGUAAUGAAUACAAUGUUACCAUAUAGGUAUAAUUCGGAUGAAUAAUGUAAUUUACACAUACUCUAAUGGCAGAGUAUGUGAAUUAAAGUUUAUAAAUGUUAAAUAUGCGUUCUAAGAUUUUGGGUAUGUUUAAAUUGAGUUAAAGAAUUAUCAUAAUAUGUGAUGUCGCUUCAUAUUAUUGCUUAUUUGUAAUUAUGAUGACGACAGUUAUAUUCAGGUGAAUGCUGUCACUAGAGUUUGUGAAUGGAGAACUAAAAACUUGGUCGUUACCGAUAUAAUUGGAUAAUGCACACAAAGCUAGACAGAAUUUCUCGUAUAUGUCUAGACCAAAAAUAUGAAUUUGUUCACUUUUCUAACAGUCCACGUUGCUAUUUUUUUCAUUUUACUUCAUAAUAUAGUCCCGAACUAAAUGCAGCUUACUUUUUCUCUUAUUUAUAUUUUUCUAUCCGGCUAAAUUAUCAUCCAACAAUGCUUAUUAAUAAUCACAUUUGAACUAUAAGAACUGUAAAAGAAUAAUUACGAUCUAUUAUUUUCGGCAGUUGUAUAUCGUACUGAAUAUUAAAACCAUUAUGAUUAAUUUAAUCAGUAAUACAUCUGAAUCAUAUACGAAUUAUGGAUGAUAGAACAAUAAAGAGUCUAGAAUUAUAGCUAGCACGGCCGAAAUUACUCUACGUUGCUUACAAAAAAGUUUUUUCCAACAAUAACAAAUAUAGAUUCGUAAUAUAUAGAUAUAUGUCAGCGUAUGAACUUCCACUACAAAUAUUU